AAAACUGUAAACUGACAUUUUGUUUAUCCUUUAAAUAGCAAUAGAAAGUUCAGCUUAAUAAUCUGUGAGUGCUUACUAAGAAUUUGUCAACAUUACAAGUGAGCUAACAGUUCAAAACCAUUACAUGUAUAAAUGCUUUAAAGAAUGAAGAGAAAUGAAUCACAAAUGCCAAACCACUGGGAAUUUUGUAGACAGCAUUGUCCUAGUCACAAUGUACUCCAGGUACUAGUACCCCUUGCUGCUCUGCUCUAUGCUUCUUAACUUCAGUAUUCAACAUACUUGACUGAAAAGUAGUUGCAAUAAUAUGAAGUUUUCUGGAAAGCCAUGAAUACCU
ensembl:lncRNA